UAAACAUAUCCCAUCCAAAAAAAUUGUUCUUUCCAAUUCCAGAAAUCCUCCCCAAUUUUCCUACAAAUACCAUCUCUCUCUCUCUCUCUCUCUCUCUCUCUCUCUCACAUAGUCUGAGAGAGCCUUCUUCUUCUCCUAACGAUUGUUUCUCCAGAAUGUAUCCAAUGGAUACGAUCGUACAAUACUUAGCUUACAAUGGCCAAAAGAGAAGAUUAUUUUGAAUCAAUAAUUUGAAGUUCCAAAAAUGCCAAAACAAGAAUGCACAUGGUGUCACAAAGUGAUAGUGAGGACUAAUUCUAUGAGGAUUCAAAUAAGUUCCUACCAUAAACUCAGUAUUGAAGAUUCACAACAACACUUCAAAACUUCAUGCAAAGGAACAUGGAGCUCCAUGGAGGUGACAUAUCCUCAACUUAAUUACGCCUGGAAUACAAAAGCCGCUUUGAUCUCUAGCCUAAACUAAAGAAUGCCGGUCGACUACAAAAAGAGUUGGUAUGGUUUUAUCACUUUCUUCUAGGUUACCAGAUCCUAUAAAAAUGUGUAAUGAAGUAAUUUUCAUUGAAGUUAAUUUUCAUCCAUUGGUGCAAGCCCAAUAAAUGGGUUUGAUGUAUGUUUUCUAGAAUUUUUGUUGUGUGCCAGUUAAUGAAAUCAAUCUCUAAGUUCAUAUGAA